GACUCUCCUCCAAAUGAUUCUCUCAAGUACGGUGGAGUUUCCUUUCACUUUUGAAGUCAUUUCCUUUCGGUUCAUAUUGUCCAAAGCUAGCUGAGUAUCAAUCCAGAAAAUAGCUUGAGCUGCCUCUUUUGCAAGCCUCAGUUUGCUUCAAAGCUCAUCUCCUUUAAGUUUACCAUGCAACUAGAUUAUUUAUUAUUUUUUCUUUUUAGGAUUGGUAUAAUCAAACAAGACACGACAUACAUACAUCAAUCGUGGCGAUCAAUCUAUGAACACUGACGUGUCUCGUGUUCUUGACGGACCGAAGAGAUGGGUGCCCAAUUUCAAGAUAUCGGACCAAACAAGCCUGGAACUGGUCAGAAUCGGACCAAUCGGUCUGGAUCGCGGACGGUCGAAGAGACCCAUCCAAUAAUUUUUCUCUUCCGUGGGUAAGAGAAAUCAGUGAAGAGGAAGAAAGUUGCAAUAAUGGUGUCCUUUCAAACAUCAGCAACACACGGUGGAUCUCACUAGCCUUUGAACGGCAAGCGGGAAGAGAAAUUGGUGGAGACGAAGAAAGUUGCAAUAAUGGUGUCCUUUAACGAUGGCCACUCAUUGUUUCCUUUCUUCUUCUUCAUUCGCUUCUAGUGAAUUAUAAACAUGCCUUUUAAAGAGACUCUCCUCCAAAUGAUUCUCUCAAGAUUGGUAUAAUCAAACAACACACGACAUACAUACAUCAAUCGUGGCGAUCAAUCUAUGAACACUGACGUGUCUCGUGUUCUUGACGGACCGAAGAGACGGGUGCCCAAUUUCAAGAUAUCGGACCAAACAAGCCUAGAACUGGUGAGAAUCGGACCAAUCGGUCUGGAUCGCGGACGGUGGAAGAAACCCAUCUAAUAAUUUUUCUCUUCCGGGGGUAAGAGAAAUCAGUGACGAGGAAGAAAGUUGCAAUAAUGGUGUCCUUUCAAACAUCAGUAACACACGGUGGAUCUCUCUAGCCUUUGAACAUGCAAGGGAGAAGAGAAAUUAGUGGAGACGAAAAAGUUACAAAUAUGGUGUCCAUUACCGAUGGCCACUCAUUGUUUCCUUUCUUCUUCUUUAUUUGCUUCUAGUGAAUUAUAAACAUGCCUUUUAAAGAGACUCUCCUCCAAAUGAUUCUCUCAAGUACGGUGGAGUUUCCUUUCACGUUUGAAUUCAUUUCCUUUCGGUUUAUAUUGUCCAAAGCUAG